GACGAACGCUGGCGGCGUGCUUAACACAUGCAAGUCGAACGGAAAGGCCCUGCUUUUGUGGGGUGCUCGAGUGGCGAACGGGUGAGUAACACGGGAGUAACCUGCCCUUGACUUUGGGAUAACUUCAGGAAACUGGGGCUAAUACCGGAUAGGAGCUCCUGCUGCAUGGUGGGGGUUGGAAAGUUUCGGCGGUUGGGGAUGGACUCGCGGCUUAUCAGCUUGUUGGUGGGGUAGUGGCUUACCAAGGCUUUGACGGGUAGCCGGCCUGAGAGGGUGACCGGCCACAUUGGGACGGAGAUACGGCCCAGACGCCUACGGGAGGCAGCAGUGGGGAAUAUUGCACAAUGGGCGGAAGCCUGAUGCAGAAACGCCGCGUGCGGGAUGACGGCCUUCGGGUUGUAAACCGCUUUCGCCUGUGACGAAGCGUGAGUGACGGUAAUGGGUAAAGAAGCACCGGCUAACUACGUG
rnacentral:rRNA from 1 species